UUUUGUUAGGUUUUGCCAUGUAUAUUUUAAACUACCAUUGCAUACACACAAAUUUAGAAUUGUAAUGUCUUUCUGUUGAAUUCAUACAUUUAUCAUAAUGAAAUAUGCCUACGUAUUUCUUAUACUAUUUCUCACCAUAAACACUACUUUAUCUGGUAUCUGGUAUCGUUACACAAGAUUGGUUAAUAUUUUGCAUAAUAUGGAAUUCUCCAUUGUCAGUUAUUGCUUUCAGAACUUGAAAAAUGUGAUUCCUUUUCCUUCUUUCUUUCAUUGCUUCUGCUAAAAAAACAGCUGCCACUCUUUUUUUCUUUCUUUCUCUCUGUUAAGGGAAAUUUUUUUUUUCCGGCUGCUAUGAAGAUUUUAUUUUUCUCUUUAGUUCAGCUAUUUUAUAUGAUGCAUUUACAUGUGAUUUUCUUUGUAUUUCUUCUAAUUGGGGUCCAUCAUGCUUCUUGCAUUGUAUAUUUGAUGUCUAUGCCUAUCUUGGUAAAUUUGCAGGAAAUAUUAUGUCAAAUAUUGCUUCUGCCCUAGUCUUCUUACUCUGGAACUCAAAUUACAUUUUUAAAAAAGAUCUGUUCAUUGUAUUCCCUAAAUUUUACAUGCCUUUCUGAAUUUCCCAUCCUAUUUCUAUACGUGUUUCAAGUAUUCUGACUUUUUUCAGUUUGCUAUUUCUCCUGCAAUGUUUAAUACAUUAAUAAGUCUAGCUUUUUAAUUCUUAUAUUCAAUUAUUCUAUUUCCUUAGUUUGAAAAUGAUAAGUUGACUUAUAGAUCCCAGUCCUCCAAUAAGUCUACAUCUUUUAUUUUUUAACUUAAUAAUCAUUAUUAAAGUCCCUUAUUUAUAAAUAAUUAGACUACCUAGAUCACCUGUGGAUCUAUUUUGAUAGUCUGUAUUUUUAAUUUUGGUUUCCAUACAUUUUAUAGACAUGUCUGGUCAUUUUUAAUUAAUGACAUACAUGGUAUAUAAUAAUUGGGGAGUCCCUGAUUUAUACUCUUUCUCAAAAGAGGGCUAAUCUUCGUGCAUGCCUAGAGUAUUUUGGCAGAUCACCCUGAUCUAGUCAAAGGAAGGUAUGAAGCUUUCUUAAAGUUGGGCUUUCUUUGGUCAACUCUUACCUCUAAGGCAUAAACCUUGCUCUUAGGUUAUAUCCUUUCUGCGAUCUUAAUUGAAAGCUGAGUGCUCAUGGGGGUCAUUCAAUUUGUUCAUCUCUACACUUUUGCUUCAUUUUCCCUAUAACCAAGACUGUUGGAAUAUUUGUUCAAUUCUUUAGAUCUCAAAUAUGGCUUGCUAUUUGUUUUCUGGUGUCUUUUCCUGAACACCACACAGGAAGUGUGUGGUGGAAGGAGGUGUGGAGGAAGUGACCAAAGGCCUUCACGCAGUCUCUCACUUCCCUGCAGUUACUUUUUCCCUAAAAUUCAAUUGUUCUUGGAGGGUCCAAACGCCACCUUCUGUUUCCUCAGCACAAUGAGACUUUCGUGACCCCAGGCUUUCGACUUCUGCUCUGCCACCUCACCCAUGGCAUUGACAAAGCCCUGAGGAAAAUCUCAGAGAUAGAUAAAUAUAGGACUCACAUAAAUCUGCCUCCCUUGUUUCCAGAAUUUGUAGCCCCGUAGUUCUGUCUGCCAUGGUGGUUCCCUAAUGCUUUAAAAGAGUGGACUCACGUACUAAUCUUUUCUAUUUUUUAGGGGAGGGUUAGUCUCACACAAGCUGCCUUGUUAUAGAGGACAUUGGAAACCACUGGAUUAUAUGAAGAAAUUAAGGACUAGAAUCACUGGUGCAAGAUCACACUGGGGAAAAGUGACAGAACCAAAUUUCAAACUCCAGUCUUUCUGCUUCUAGAGAUUGAACUACUAACAUCUGCAUUAUAUAAAAUUAAGUCUCUCAAGGUAGUUUGUGAAACGUAACAUACAAAUAAGUGAUUAAAAUUUUUGGUGAUA
rnacentral:lncRNA from 1 species